rnacentral:rRNA from 1 species
GAUGAACGCUAGCGAUAGGCCUAACACAUGCAAGUCGAGGGGCAUCACAUGAAGUAGCAAUACGGAUGGUGGCGACCGGCGCACGGGUGAGUAACACGUAUGCAACCUGCCUUCAACAAGGGGAUAACCCGUUGAAAGACGGACUAAUACCCUAUAACACAGGGGUCCCGCAUGGGAAUAUUUGUUAAAGGACAACCGGUUGAAGAUGGGCAUGCGUUCCAUUAGCUAGUUGGCGGGGUAACGGCCCACCAAGGCAACGAUGGAUAGGGGAACUGAGAGGUUUAUCCCCCACACUGGUACUGAGACACGGACCAGACUCCUACGGGAGGCAGCAGUGAGGAAUAUUGGUCAAUGGACGCAAGUCUGAACCAGCCACGUCGCGUGAAGGAAGACGGCCCCUACGGGUUGUAAACUUCUUUUAUACGGGAAUAAAGUGCCCCACGCGUGGGGUUUUGCAUGUACCGUAUGAAUAAGGAUCGGCUAACUCCGUG